CCCUUAGAUGUCCUGGGCCGCACGCGCGUUACACUGAUGCAUUCAACGAGCCUAUAACCUUGGCCGAGAGGCCUGGGCAAUCUUGUUAACGUGCAUCGUGAUAGGGAUAGAUUAUUGAAAUUAUUAAUCUUGAACGAGGAAUUCCUAGUAAACGCAGAUCAUCAAUCUGCAUUGAUUACGUCCCUGCCCUUUGUACACACCGCCCGUCGCUACUACCGAUUGAAUGGUUUAGUGAGAAUUUUGGACUGGAACUCCCUUGCUCAGCAAUGGGCGAGGGGGAGUCCGGGAAGCUAUUCUAACUGUAUCAUUUAGAGGAAGUAAAAGUCGUAACA
rnacentral:rRNA from 1 species